AGCUGAACUCGGCGCCUGGAAAGAUGGAGGCAGCGGAGACAGAGGCGGAAGCUGCAGCCCUAGAGGUCCUGGCUGAGGUGGCAGGCAUCUUGGAACCUGUAGGCCUGCAGGAGGAGGCAGAACUGCCAGCCAAGAUCCUGGUUGAGUUUGUGGUGGUAUGUACAAGAUGAGAGCGAGCCUUUCAGAAGCCAGGGUCUGGUCCUGGCUCCUCUUACUGAGAUACAGGGCAGCACUGGCAGAGAGCAGACUUAAGGAAACCUGUAAGGAGGUAAGGAUGUUCCCUGUCUCUGCCCUCCCUCUGAGCAGGACUCUCAGAAGAAAGACAAGCUGCUCUGCAGCCAGCUUCAGGUAGCGGAUUUCCUGCAGAACAUCCUGGCUCAGGAGGACACUGCUAAGGGUCUCGACCCCUUGGCUUCUGAAGACACGAGCCGUGAGUAGGCAGGGGAUUGUAGUAGCAGCUGACCUGAGUGGGGAAGGAAGGAGGAUUUCAGUUAGGUCUCCCAUUUGGCUGAUGGGAAGGAGGCCCAGUGUUGCAGGGAGGCAGGCUAGCAGGCCACCCUCACUCAUGUACUCAUUCCUGGUGGCUCAUCUCAGGACAGAAGGCAAUUGCAGCUAAGGAACAAUGGAAAGAGCUGAAGGCCACCUACAGGGAGCACGUAGAGGCCAUCAAAAUUGGCCUCACCAAGGCCCUGACUCAGAUGGAGGAAGCCCAGAGGAAACGGACACAACUCCGGGAAGCCUUUGAGCAGCUCCAGGCCAAGAAACAAAUGGCCAUGGAGAAACGCAGAGCAGUCCAGAACCAGUGGCAGCUACAACAGGAGAAGCAUCUGCAGCAUCUGGCGGAGGUUUCUGCAGAGGUGAGGGAGCGUAAGACAGGGACUCAGCAGGAGCUUGACAGGGUGUUUCAGAAACUUGGAAACCUGAAGCAGCAGGCAGAACAGGAGCGGGACAAGCUGCAGAGGUAUCAGACCUUCCUCCAGCUUCUGUAUACCCUGCAGGGUAAGCUGUUGUUCCCUGAGGCUGAGGCUGAGGCAGAGAAUCUUCCAGAUGAUAAACCCCAGCAGCCGACUCGACCCCAGGAGCAGAGUACAGGAGACACCAUGGGGAGAGACCCUGGUGUGUCCUUCAAGGCUGUUGGUCUACAACCUGCUGGAGAUGUAAAUUUGCCAUGACUUCCUGGAGGACAGCAGCAUGGAGAAAGAUCCUAGAAAAGGCCUCUGACUUCCCUCACCUCCCAACCAUCAUUACAGGAAAGACUGUGAACUCCUGAGUUCAGCUUGAUUUCUGACUACAUCCCAGCAAGCUCUGGCAUCUGUGGAUUAAAAUCCCUGGAUCUCUCUCAGUUGUGUAUUUGUUCAUCUUCAUAUGCUGGCAGGAACAACUAUUAAUACAGAUACUCAGAAGCCAAUAACAUGACAGGAGCUGGGACUGGUUUGAACACAGGGUGUGCAGAUGGGGAGGGGGUACUGGCCUUGGGCCUCCUAUGAUGCAGACAUGGUGAAUUUAAUUCAAGGAGGAGGAGAAUGUUUUAGGCAGGUGGUUAUAUGUGGGAAGAUAAUUUUAUUCAUGGAUCCAAAUGUUUGUUGAGUCCUUUCUUUGUGCUAAGGUUCUUGCGGUGAACCAGAAUUAUAACAGUGAGCUCAUCUGACUGUUUUAGGAUGUACAGCCUAGUGUUAACAUUCUUGGUAUCUUUUUGUGCCUUAUCUAAAACAUUUCUCGAUCACUGGUUUCAGAUGUUCAUUUAUUAUAUUCUUUUCAAAGAUUCAGAGAUUGGCUUUUGUCAUCCACUAUUGUAUGUUUUGUUUCAUUGACCUCUAGUGAUACCUUGAUCUUUCCCACUUUCUGUUUUCGGAUUGGAGAAGAUGUACCUUUUUUGUCAACUCUUACUUUUAUCAGAUGAUCAACUCACGUAUUUGGAUCUUUAUUUGUUUUCUCAAAUAAAUAUUUAAGGUUAUACAUUU
rnacentral:lncRNA from 1 species